UGUAAGGACUCCGUCUCCUCGGGCCGCAGAACCAAGGCCUGGGUGGUGGGGGCACGUGACCGGCCCGUCUGAAAGCUUUGGGAACUGUUCCGCGCACAGCUCCUCGCAGGCCCAGGCCACCGACCGUUGCAGAGCCGACGAGCCCGGCUGGUCUCCAUGGUGACCGGCUCGCCGCAGAAGCCUCUGGGAAUUGUAGUUGGGCGGGAGCCGGGUCCGUGCGCCGAGUUCCGAGCGGUGGCCGUUACCGCUCGCCAUCGCGGUCCGGUCGGAGCUUGGCGGCGUCCGGGGGAGCUCCUUCCGCGUUUCCUCGGCCUCCGGGACCCCAGGCAGGCGGGCGGUCGCCCGGAAAGGCAGGGUGUGGGCCCGGGCUCCAGGGGAGGUAUCUGGCAGGCGUUUUGCAGAGGCUCGCACAGUGGGUUGGUCACGGCGUUGAGAGCCGCAUCAGAGCGUGGCCUCGAAGGAGCGCUUGGUCCAGUCUCUUCUGCUAGAUUAGGGGGGACCGAAGCCCAGACAGAGUCCGUGGUUUGCCCCAAAGCGAGGCCAGAUCCUAGUCUGUCCGCUCACGCCUUUCUUUGCAGCACAGAGCGCCCUGCCUGACACAGAGCAGGCGCCCAGACAUCGGUUAAGUGUCAUUUCGUUCUAACGACAGCCAGCUGAAAUACAAAAGUACAAGAUUUUUUAAAAAAAAAAUUUUUUUUUUUUUUUAAAGAGGGAAGUGGACCUAUAGAUAAGGAGACUUAUCAGCCAGAUACAACCUAUAAAUUCAUUUGGAUCAUGAGUCUAAGAAUCAAUUGUGCGGCUUUUUAAAAUCUGGUAGAUGUGAACAUUGAUUGGCAAUAUGGCAGAGUUACUGUUUAAAACUUCUGGUUGUGAAAAGGCUGUUGCGGUUAUGUUUUAAAAAGGAAAAGAGUCUUAGAGACACAUACUGCAGGUUUUAUGGUCGAAAUGAUGUCUGAGAUUUGCUGAAAAAAUACCCAGCGUGGCCGGCUGGAGAGAGACAAGAAUGAAAGUUUCUGAAAUAUGAAGCAGCUCAGAGUUUCUCUGAAACAUAAGCCUCACACGGCACAAGUGAGCCUCCUUGGGGACUUCUCCCGUCAAGAAAGAGCACCGCAAUGAGGGGGGCUGUGUCCAGUGCCCCCAGGUCCUUCAAAAGCAGGACAGAAUUCUGACCUUGAAGCCAGAGGCAGAGGACCAUGCUGCCAGACGGUGACCUCAGGAGUAAGGACAAGGCACUCAGCUCAGAUCAGGAACUUGCUGAAAGAAGAUCCCACGGGUGACUUCACCAGAGCUGGGAGAUACCUCAGAAUGUUCCAGAAUCUUAGACCAGCAUUAGGGAGCCUCCAGACAGGAGGCCAAGCAGCUGCCUUGCCCAAGAGAAGAGUUUCAAGCAGGAGAGGGAAGAAGCAGCCAUGACGGUGACAGAAGUGACCAGAACUCCAGGCCAGACUUAAAGGAAGCUCUUUGAGGAGGAGCCACAUCCUGUCUUUGCUGUUCUCCAUGGCAUGUCUGAGCACGGCGGGACUUGGGUUGGAGACCGGGUGCGGCUGUGGCCACUGCGGUCGAAGCCAACGGAUUUAUGGUUCCACGCAGUCGUGGGCGGAGAUGAGCCCGUGACCGAAGACGUGGCCUGCCUUCUCGGGGGACGGUUGCUGCCGCACUCUUCCAGGUCACGCAGGAGGAAGGUGAUCUCGUCCUUGUUGCCACUCCUUGGCCCCGACACCCGCCCACGCCAGGCAGACCAGCCAGAUUCUCCCUGCGGCCAGCCGUGCAUGGUGCCAAUCCUGGGAGUGACUUCGGGGAGGGGGAGGCGGGGGGCAAGCAAGUGAUCGGUAUUGUGGCAGAGCUGUCCACGCAGUGUCCUGGUUAACUCUGGCUGGCGUAGGGACCACCCUCAGCAUGAACCCGCAGCUCUUUGAGGGCACAGCCUGGGUCUGAAGCCUCUCUUCAGAGAGGCUUAGCACCUGGCACGUAGAAAGUCUUCACCUGGCGUGGAGUAGGGGAGUGCUUCUGUAGUUACCAGCAGCCAGGGAGUUCAUGGAGGGUCCGAGUUCAGAUGUUAGUGACUGUCCUCAAGUGUCCCCCCCCGGGCCCCCCACGCCCCAAUGAAUGCAUCCUCCCUUUGGUAUAUGGCGAAGUCCUGGGUCCUCAGCACAAAAUGCAGACAGUGCCCCCUUGUGUGUUUUGUAAGCUGCAGAAUCCCUGUCUAGGGGGUGGGGCAGGGGAAGGGGACAAAUCCUGGGUAUACAUCGAGGGUUUUAUAGAGCCUUGGAGCUCUCUGCUGCUUUCUUUUAAAGCUAGUGAGUUAAAAAUGUUCUAGGCCAGAUAGUAGGAGCUGGUCCCGAGGGCUGGCACUGCCCCUAGGAGCCGGGGGCUGCUUCCAAACAGCCGAACCUUGAAGCUGGUGGAGAUGUGAGCAGGUCACCAAGGGUUAAGGAGAGAGGGGAAGGGGGGCCCUUGCCAGCCGCCUCUUUGUGUGCUUACCAGGGGCUUUCGUGCCCACGCAGUUGUCUCUGGGCAGGAACACCGCUGACUACCAGGUGUCCGCGCUCCAGGUUUGGCUGUUGGUAGCUGGAGUGUCAUUUACAGUGGGUCUCCAGAACACUCCCUCACAUUUUUCCCCUAAUGACCACCCAGAGACCCGACUGAACAGAAAUUAAUGCAAACAGGUAGAGGAGGUCGAAAUAGAUGAUCAAGUGAAGGCUGUGGGGGGAGCAGGGCGCUGGAGGGGGCAGGUGGCUCUCAGCUCCGCACUCGUAGGGAAUGGGCCAAGGCUCUUCCUAAGAAGCAGCUCCAAAGGCUUCUAGAAAAUAGCUCGAGAAGCCAGGUCUAGAAGGAAAGCUGUAAAGGGCUUCAUGGUAUGUAAAGGCACCCCCCCGUCCUCACAGCCCCCCAGCCAGAGCACCCACGCCAGGCUCUUGGAUGCUCGCUGAGCGGCCGUUCUCACGGGGGGCCUCUGAGGCUGCUCGGUGCAUGCGUGAGGCUCUAACCAGCACAGCCUGCCUUUAGUGCCCGCACGGCCAAGGGCUUCCCAUGCAGGGCCCCGCUGAAUCCCCAGCAGCCCCGGGAAGUAGCAUGUUCCUGUCCUCAUGUUCGAAUGAAGAAAAUAAGGUUUAGAGAGGUUAAACAACUUGCCCAAGGGCGGGCAGCGAGUGAGGGGAGGAGCAGGCUUCACGUCCAGGCCUGCCCAUCACUCGGGCUUUAAGGCGCUGCUUCGCGCCUUGCGGGAAUUUUCCUUGCGUCGCCAGAAUCCUCAGUCCAUGCUGCGUCUCGAUGGCGCAGCCACCUUGAAAUGGUCUUGCUUCCACAGCCCCCUCCGCGGCCCAUCAGAGCCGCUCAGUAGUUUCUGAGAGGCCAGGUCGAGUGGGGGCUGAACCUCCCGACCAUCCCUGUGAUUCACGAGCGACAUCCUCCGUACUCCCAGCAGUCACUGGAAUUUCUGCUGUGGGAAUUUGGGGAGAGUCUUGAGGCGUGGCAGAUGCAAGAAUCUGUGAUUUCUGCUCUCCAUUCUGUGAGUCAGGUCAUCAGGCAGAGCAAGGCAGGAACAAUUUCUUUCUGCUCCACUGUGUCUGGGCCUCAACCCAAGAGGCCCAAACGGCUGGAUUUGGCUAAGGUGGUCUGACUGGCCGUAGUGCGGGGCCCUUGGUUCUGUCUGCCAGCAGGAUCCCUCCCCUCUUUUUCGCGUGACAUCCACUGAAAUGGGGUGGAAAUGUCCAAAAUGACUUUUUCACUCGUGCAUCUGAUGCUUCCAUGUUCUCCUUUAAUGGCCUCUCUUCAUAGAGUAACUUCAUCUCCUUACAUUGUUGUUCCGGGCUCCGCAAAGCCACCGUCCAUGCUCCUCCUUGUCCACGGUACCUGUCCUGCCCUGAGCCCCAUCUGUGGGGAGCUGCCACAUUUGGCCCCCACUGUAUUACAUGACCCUGCCCAUUGGGCCAGGAUCCAGUGGAAGCUGACCAGUGACUUUUGAAAUCACCUGGCUGGCUCAAAAAUAUAAGGAAAACCAGUCAGACCAGUCGGAUUCCCCUUUGGGGAAACUCAAACCAAAACAUCAGACUGUAUCGGCACAGUGUGUGUGUGACAGGAUAGCGUGAGGGCAAGUAGGGCCUGGAUGGACCGAUGUGCUGGCCUGAAUGAGGCUGAAGAAGGGACGUGGAGAUAGAAGAAAAACAAGCCGUGACAUGGAGAGACCUCCGAGUGGAGGGAACCAUGAGCCUGUCGUUGGCGACGGGAGAAAGGAAGGGACGGCCGGAACAGAGCUGGGACCCAUGAAAGCCUGGGGGUGGAGCCAGUCCCAGAGGUGCCCUAGUGUCCCAGAGCUCCCCUAGUGUCCCAGAGCUCCUGGGCCCGCCUGGCCCAUGUGAGUCACUGCAACAAACUUGUUCCUUAUUCCCUUGGCUGUCAGUUGGCUUAGAGGGGGCCACGUGACUUCAAUCUGCCAAUAAAAAUUAGGAGGAAAUGGGCUGGAGGUCCUUCUGGGAAGAAUUUUGCUUUUUGAUGAAAGGAAGGAUGGUGAAGAGGCCUGGCCCUUCUUCCUGCUUUGGACAUGGAUGUUUGAGGAUGUGAUACUUAGAGCUGUAGCAGCCAUCUUGGGACCAUGAGGCAACAAGAUCAAGGGAAGAAGCCAAUGUACCAAAGUUGGCCCAGCAGACGGACAAAAAGAGCCUGGGUCCUAGAUGACAUCGUUGAGCCACUAUACCUAUCCUGGAACCACCUACUUCCAGUCUUAUUGAUACAUUAAUUAAAUGUCUUUAUUUUCUAAGCAGAUUUCUGCUAUUUGAAGGCUAAGACAUUCUUAGCCAGUAUAGCACUCCUCUGAACCUGUCCGUCAUCAACUCCUUAGAGCCCCAUGGCUCUUGGUUUAGAUCCAAAUGGGAAAUCACCACAAAUUUAAACAGUGGAAAUCUUAACUUACGUGGUAGGAAAUACAAGUCAAGAUUUCUCACAGCCUACAGAGCAAUUCCAGCACCUAGUCCCAACUCCCAGGGCCUGUUGGACGCAAAUGAGGAAAGAUAGAUUCAGGAAAGUUCUAGAUACAUGAGCAUGAGUCUUCUAAAAUGGGGCUCAAUGAUGAAUUUUGGGAUGAACAAGUGCAGUGAGGGGCGAAGGGGAGAGCCUAAGCAUGGGCCAGAAAGCCAUGGAAAGCACACGGAAGGAGCAGCAAGCUGGAAUGGACAAAUGGCGGGUGGGUUGGAUCACUUCUGCGGGAGGCCAGGGUCCACAGCAAGAUUUCACAAGUGCCAAGUACUGGCUGGGAGGAGUUUACAGCAACUAGAAUUAAACUGGUGGAAAACGAGGCCUUUUCGUUAACUCUCCAGCCAGCCUUCCUGACAUUUUAGAUCCUUUUAGGAACAGGGCCUGAAUUGUGGCCCUUGCCUGCGUGCAGGCGCUCCCACGUGCUUCAUUCUUUGUCUCUUCUCCACCUCUCCCUCUCUCUCCACCCUUUCUUCCUAUCUUCUCAGCAAAGCCAGGAGCCAGAAAUGCUCAAGAUCUGAAUCUCUUUCACCUCAGCUGGAGAGUAAAGAUAGUGGGAGGCAAGGAUGUCUUAUGGAAGCUUCAAAUCCUGGUCUGGGGAUCAUCCUGGUUCCCUUGGGAGGGGGGAAAGCUGUCUGUUGAUAAGGACUAGAUUAAGCUUUCUUCUGCCCCAACUUUGACCAAGCAGUGGGGACGGGGGUGCUUCUUCAACACAACACAAGAAAAUGUGUGGUCCUCCCUUCCCUUGUGCAAUGAGACGUUGAACUCGAGCACUCUAGGCCUUCCUCUUUCGAUUUCUAGUUUCAGGUACACAACAAAGAUAAUCUGACAUCCUCCUCAUGCAUCCUACGAAUAUUUCAUUGCAUUCAGAACUUGAGAAAAGUCUCACCAACCCAUUUCCCAUCCCCACAUCAUCAGUAGUAGAAACAUGUGGCCUGUAGAAGUUCAUCAAAUGAAUGGGGCCCAAACACGGUUGAGUUACCAGCAGACUCUGCCACUAAGCCUCGUCCCUCUGGGUGCAGCCCUUAUGCACCCUGCGUAUCUUAGGAGUUCUGCCCCCAAAGGCCAAAACCAGGUCAACCCCGACAUUUGCCCACUGUGUUACUUCACUCACUCAGUAGAAGUACUGAACACCUAGUAGAAUUACAAGCUAAACUUAUAAAAGCAAUGAUACUAUUAGGAAGAUUAGUCAUUAAAGACACACACAAAAAAUUCCUGACCUCAUCAGAGAAACGAAUGAAAGCUUUGGGAUGGAGGAAGCAAAAAGGGUAACCUCCUACUUUGAUGUGAUUAAUGCUUCACUGUGAUGCUUAAUACACCAUGAAUUCCCCCACCCCCACAGUUGGCCCGUACACCAUGAAGGUUUCUCUGAAAUCCAGUAAGGAAAAGAACUUGAAGGCUUUUCCUCCUUCUUGGUAAUCAGGGUUUUUUCUCCAGUAUGAAUUUGCCUGAUUAUGGAUUAAACGCUCUCCCACAGUCUGUACAACACGAGAGUGUCUUUCCCGUGAACUCUCCAAUGAUAAGAAAGGGCUACACUGUCCCCACAUGAUUUUCCACACCGAUUAGGCUCACAGGCUUCUCUCUAGGAUGAAUGAUCUCAGGUUCAAUCCACUCCAUGCUUCCCCUAGACAGUUCUCCAUAUUCAUUACAUAUGACCGGCUCAAGUCCCAACUAAAUUAGCUGACAUUGUCUGAGUCUGGCUGGGAUUGUAGGUUCUUCCUCAUCCAUUAUGCUUACAGAGCUUCUCCCUGCCCUGAAAUCCCAGAAGUCUAAUUAGCUGUGAGCACUGUCUAAAAGCAUUUUCACAUCCA